rnacentral:rRNA from 1 species
CUACAGGCUUAACACAUGCAAGUCGAGGGGCAGCAUCAUUAAAGCUUGCUUUGAUGGAUGGCGACCGGCGCACGGGUGAGUAACACGUAUCCAACCUGCCGACAACACUGGGAUAGCCUUUCGAAAGAAAGAUUAAUACCGGAUGGCAUAGUCUUCCCGCAUGGGAUGACUAUUAAAGAAUUUCGGUUGUCGAUGGGGAUGCGUUCCAUUAGGCAGUUGGCGGGGUAACGGCCCACCAAACCAACGAUGGAUAGGGGUUCUGAGAGGAAGGUCCCCCACAUUGGAACUGAGACACGGUCCAAACUCCUACGGGAGGCAGCAGUGAGGAAUAUUGGUCAAUGGACGAGAGUCUGAACCAGCCAAGUAGCGUGAAGGAUGACUGCCCUAUGGGUUGUAAACUUCUUUUAUACGGGAAUAAAGUGAGCCACGUGUGGCUUUUUGUAUGUACCGUAUGAAUAAGGAUCGGCUAACUCCGUGCCAGCAGCCGCGGUAAUACGGAGGAUCCGAGCGUUAUCCGGAUUUAUUGGGUUUAAAGGGAGCGUAGAUGGGUUGUUAAGUCAGUUGUGAAAGUUUGCGGCUCAACCGUAAAAUUGCAGUUGAUACUGGCGACCUUGAGUGCAACAGAGGUAGGCGGAAUUCGUGGUGUAGCGGUGAAAUGCUUAGAUAUCACGAAGAACUCCGAUUGCGAAGGCAGCUUACUAACCUGUAACUGACAUUGAUGCUCGAAAGUGUGGGUAUCAAACAGGAUUAGAUACCCUGGUAGUCCACACGGUAAACGAUGAAUACUCGCUGUAGGCGAUAUACAGUCUGCGGCCAAGCGAAAGCAUUAAGUAUUCCACCUGGGGAGUACGCCGGCAACGGUGAAACUCAAAGGAAUUGACGGGGGCCCGCACAAGCGGAGGAACAUGUGGUUUAAUUCGAUGAUACGCGAGGAACCUUACCCGGGCUUAAAUUGCAACCGAAUAUGGCGGAAACGCUAUAGCUAGCAAUAGCGGUUGUGAAGGUGCUGCAUGGUUGUCGUCAGCUCGUGCCGUGAGGUGUCGGCUUAAGUGCCAUAACGAGCGCAACCCUUGCCGAUAGUUACUAACAGGUCAUGCUGAGGACUCUGUCGGGACUGCCAUCGUAAGAUGUGAGGAAGGUGGGGAUGACGUCAAAUCAGCACGGCCCUUACGUCCGGGGCUACACACGUGUUACAAUGGGGGGUACAGAGGGCUGCUACCACGCAAGUGGAUGCCAAUCCCAAAAACCUCUCUCAGUUCGGAUUGAAGUCUGCAACCCGACUUCAUGAAGCUGGAUUCGCUAGUAAUCGCGCAUCAGCCACGGCGCGGUGAAUACGUUCCCGGGCCUUGUACACACCGCCCGUCAAGCCAUGGGAGCCGGGGGUACCUGAAGUGCGUAACCGCAAGGAGCGCCCUAGGGUAAAACUGGUGACUGGGGCU